GUAGGUGGCAAGCGUUGUCCGGAAUUAUUGGGCGUAAAGCGCGCGCAGGUGGUUCUUUAAGUCUGAUGUGAAAGACCCCCGGGCUCAACCGGGGAGGGUCAUUGGAAACUGGGGAACUUGAGUGCAGGAGAGGAAAGUGGAAUUCCACGCGUAGCGGUGAAAUGCGUAGAUAUGUGGAGGAACACCAGUGGCGAAGGCGACUUUCUGGCCUGUAACUGACACUGAGGCGCGAAAGCGUGGGGAGCAAACAGGAUUAGAUACCCUGGUAGUCCACGCCGUAAACGAUGAGUGCUAAGUGUUGGGGGGGUUUCCGCCCCUCAGUGCUGCAGCUAACGCAUUAAGCACUCCGCCUGGGGAGUACGGUCGCAAAGACUG
rnacentral:rRNA from 1 species